CACUUGGCUUGUGGUUCAAAUUCAUCUCCUCCUCACCCAAAAAAUUCGCACAUCCAAGGGAUCAAAUUUUUGCCAAUGGUGUCAAGGACUAUAAUUUCGCCCAAAUGUGCAAUUAAAAUCAACUAAGUGCCGUACUUCUCCAUCAUCAAGGUUUUUAGCGAUCCAUCUUUCGAUCUUUCAACCUCUACACGUUCAACUUCAGAGCAUAUGGCUUAUGGUUCAGAUUCAUCAACUCAUCAGAAAAACAAAUCUCACCCGAUUCUAAUCCAAUAAUUUUGUUUUUCUCUUGCGGGACAUUGAAGAAUCUUGGUGGUCUUUUUCAGCCUUGAUUGCGAAACAUAACGUAGGACAACGAAAAAUCUUGGUGAUCCUUUUCAUGUAGAUUGGAUCCUGCAAAAUGCAUAUCCUUCGUCUUCCCGUUGAUGUACAAUACGGAAGAGGUUGUGAAACAGAAGAGAGACCCACCUCAUAACGUAGGUAUGUAAUUUUAAAUAACCGAGAGAGAGAGUGAUCCCUCAUUGGAGUCGUGAAAUUCAAUUCCUAGGAAUUAUGCAAUCCAGAUAGAUUCGAUCCAUUGAAUUUUAGAUCGAAUAGCCUAUGCUUCAGAUUGAUCAAUUCCUCGAAAAAACAAAUACACAACCAAGUUUGAUCCGAUGAUUUUAUGUUCCUCUUGCAGGACAACGAAAAAUCUUGGUGUUCAUUUUCAUUUGAAUUGGAUCCUGCAAAAUGCAUAUCUUUCAUCUUGCCGUUUGUGUUCUUGACGGAAGGGUUGAUGUGAAACAGAAUAGAGACAAACCUCAUUCCAUAGGUAUGUAAUUUCAAAUAACUCUCAUUGGAGUCGUGAAAUUCAAUUCUUAGAAAAUAUGCAAUCCAGACAGAUUCGACCCGUUGAAUUUCAGAUCGAAUGGCCUAUGCUUCCGAAUCAUCAAUUCCUCACCAAAACAAAUCUCACAACCAAGUUUGAUCCAAUGAUUUUAUGUUCCUCUUGCAGGACAACGAAAAAUCUGUGUGUUAAUUUUCAUUUGAAUUGGAUCCUGCAAAAUAAAUAUCUUUCGUCUUGCCGUUGAUGUACAAUACGGAAGAGGUUGUGAAACAGAAGAGAGACCCACCUCAUAACGUAGAUCGAAUAGCCUAUGCUUCAUAUUGAUCAAUUCCUCGAAAAAACAAAUACACAACCAAGUUUGAUCCAAUGAUUUGAUGUUCCUCAUGCAGGACAACGAAAAAUCUUGGUGUUCAUUUUCAUUUGAAUUGGAUCCUGCAAAAUGCAUAUCUUUCAUCUUGCCGUUUGUGUUCUUGACGGAAGGGUUGAUGUGAAACAGAAUAGAGACAAACCUCAUUCCAUAGGUAUGUAAUUUCAAAUAACUCUCAUUGGAGUCGUGAAAUUCAAUUCUUAGAAAAUAUGCAAUCCAGACAGAUUCGACCCGUUGAAUUUCAGAUCGAAUGGCCUAUGCUUCCGAAUCAUCAAUUCCUCACCAAAACAAAUCUCACAACCAAGUUUGAUCCAAUGAUUUUAUGUUCCUCUUGCAGGACAACGAAAAAUCUGUGUGUUAAUUUUCAUUUGAAUUGGAUCCUGCAAAAUAAAUAUCUUUCGUCUUGCCGUUGAUGUACAAUACGGAAGAGGUUGUGAAACAGAAGAGAGACCCACCUCAUCACGUAGGUAUGUAAUUUCAAAUAACCGAGAGAGAGAGUGAUCCCUCAUUGGAGUCGUGAAAUUCAAUUCCUAGGAAAUAUGCAAUCCAGAUAGAUUCGAUCCAUUGAAUUUCAGAUCGAAUAGCCUAUGCUUCAUAUUGAUCAAUUCCUCGAAAAAACAAAUACACAACCAAGUUUGAUCCAAUGAUUUGAUGUUCCUCAUGCAGGACAACGAAAAAUCUUGGUGUUCAUUUUCAUUUGAAUUGGAUCCUGCAAAAUGCAUAUCUUUCAUCUUGCCGUUUGUGUUCUUGACGGAAGGGUUGAUGUGAAACAGAAUAGAGACAAACCUCAUUCCAUAGGUAUGUAAUUUCAAAUAACUCUCAUUGGAGUCGUGAAAUUCAAUUCUUAGAAAAUAUGCAAUCCAGACAGAUUCGACCCGUUGAAUUUCAGAUCGAAUGGCCUAUGCUUCCGAAUCAUCAAUUCCUCACCAAAACAAAUCUCACAACCAAGUUUGAUCCAAUGAUUUUAUGUUCCUCUUGCAGGACAACGAAAAAUCUGUGUGUUAAUUUUCAUUUGAAUUGGAUCCUGCAAAAUAAAUAUCUUUCGUCUUGCCGUUGAUGUACAAUACGGAAGAGGUUGUGAAACAGAAGAGAGACCCACCUCAUCACGUAGGACAACGAAAAAUCU